GAUGAACGCUGGCGGCGUGCUUAACACAUGCAAGUCGAACGGACCAUAUUCGUAUGGUUAGUGGCAGACGGGUGCGUAACACGUAGGUGACCUGCCCUCGAGUGGGGAAUAACUCGACUAACGUCGAGCUAAUACCGCAUACGUUCGCUCCUUCAGUGGGGUGAGUAAAGCAGUAAUGCGCUUGGGGAUGGGCCUGCGGCGGAUUAGGUAGUUGGUGGGGUAACGGCCUACCAAGCCGAUGAUCCGUAGGGGGCGUGAGAGCGUGGCCCCCCACAUUGGCACUGAGACACGGGCCAAACUCCUACGGGAGGCUG
rnacentral:rRNA from 1 species